UCCGGUUUGUCACCGGCAGUCUCCUUAGAGUGCCCAACUUAAUGAUGGCAACUAAGGACAAGGGUUGCGCUCGUUGCGGGACUUAACCCAACAUCUCACGACACGAGCUGACGACAGCCAUGCAGCACCUGUGUUCAGGCUCCUUGCGGCACCCCUACAUCUCUGUAAGGUUCCUGACAUGUCAAGACCAGGUAAGGUUCUUCGCGUUGCAUCGAAUUAAACCACAUACUCCACCGCUUGUGCGGGCCCCCGUCAAUUUCUUUGAGUUUCAACCUUGCGGCCGUACUCCCCAGGCGGAGAACUUAGCGCGUUAGCUACGACACCGAUCGGUAAACCGGCCAACGGCUAGCAUCCAUCGUUUACGGCGUGGACUAC
rnacentral:misc_RNA from 1 species